rnacentral:rRNA from 1 species
UGGGGAAUAUUGCACAAUGGAGGGAACUCUGAUGCAGCGACGCCGCGUGAACGAAGAAGGCUUUCGAGUCGUAAAGUUCUUUUAUAUGGGAAGAUAAUGACGGUACCAUAAGAAAAAGCCCCGGCUAACUACGUGCCAGCAGCCGCGGUAAUAAGUAGGGGGCUAGCGUUGUCCGGACUCACUGGGCGUAAAGGGUUCGCAGGCGGAAAUGCAAGUCAGGUGUAAAAGGCAGUAGCUUAACUACUGUAAGCAUUUGAAACUGCAUAUCUUGAGAAGAGUAGAGGUAAGUGGAAUUUUUAGGGUAGCUGUGAAAUGCGUAGAUAUUAAAAAGAAUACCGGGGGCGAAGGCGACUUACUGGGCUCAUUCUGACGCUGAGGAACGAAAGCGUGGGUAGCAAACAGG